rnacentral:rRNA from 1 species
GACAAACGCUGGCGGCGUGCCUAACACAUGCAAGUCGAGCGGGGACAUGAGAUCAGCAAUGAGAUUGUGUUCUAGCGGCGGACGGGUGAGUAACGCGUGAGCAACCUGGCCUGCACAGAGGGAUAACGAACCGAAAGGCUCCCUAAUACCUCAUGAGACCACACUGCCGCAUGGCAGAGGGGUCAAAGGAGCAAUCCAGUGCAGGGUGGGCUCGCGUCCGAUUAGAUAGUUGGUGAGGUAACGGCUCACCAAGUCGACGAUCGGUAGCCGACCUGAGAGGGUGAUCGGCCACAUUGGGACUGAGACACGGCCC